rnacentral:rRNA from 1 species
UGCGUAGGCGGCUUUUUAAGUCGGAUGUGAAAUCCCUGAGCUUAACUUAGGAAUUGCAUUCGAUACUGGAAAGCUAGAGUAUGGGAGAGGAUGGUAGAAUUCCAGGUGUAGCGGUGAAAUGCGUAGAGAUCUGGAGGAAUACCGAUGGCGAAGGCAGCCAUCUGGCCUAAUACUGACGCUCAGGCUCGAAGGCAUGGGGAGCAAAAGGGAUUAGAUACCCUCGUA